UACGUAGGGUGCGAGCGUUGUCCGGAAUUAUUGGGCGUAAAGAGCUUGUAGGCGGUUUGUCGCGUCUGCUGUGAAAAUCCGGAGCUCAACUCCGGGCCUGCAGUCGAUACGGGCAAACUAGAGUACUGCAGGGGAGACUGGAAUUCCUGGUGUAGCGGUGAAAUGCGCAGAUAUCAGGAGGAACACCGGUGGCGAAGGCGGGUCUCUGGGCAGUAACUGACGCUGAUGCACGAAAGUGUGGGGAUCAAACAGG
rnacentral:rRNA from 1 species